GCCCUGGAGUGGGGAAUAACUCGGGGAAACUCGAGCUAAUACCGCAUACCCUCGGAUGGUCGCAUGGCCGACCGAGGAAAGAUUCAUCGCUUCAGGAGGGUCUCGCGGCCUAUCAGCUAGUUGGUGGGGUAACGGCCUACCAAGGCAACGACGGGUAGCUGGUUUGAGAGAACGAUCAGCCACACUGGGACUGAGACACGGCCCAGACUCCUACGGGAGGCAGCAGUGGGGAAUCUUGCGCAAUGGGCGAAAGCCUGACGCAGCAACGCCGCGUGCGGGAUGACGGCCUUCGUGGUUGUAAACCGCUUUCAGCAGGGACGAAAAUGACGGUACCUGCAGAAGAAGCCCCGGCUAACUACGUGCCAGCAGCCGCGGUAAUACGUAGGGGGCAAGCGUUGUCCGGAUUCAUUGGGCGUAAAGAGCUCGUAGGCGGUUCAGUAAGUCGGGUGUGAAAGCUCCGAGCUCAACUCGGAGAGGCCACCCGAUACUGCUGUGACUUGAGUCCAGUAGAGGAGCGUGGAACUCCUGGUGUAGCGGUGGAAUGCGCAGAUAUCAGGAAGAACACCUGCAGCGAAGGCGGCGCUCUGGGCUGGAACUGACGCUGAGGAGCGAAAGCGUGGGUAGCAAACAGGAUUAGAUACCCUGGUAGUCCACGCCGUAAACGUUGGGCACUAGGUGUGGGGAGCCGUCAACGCUCUCUGUGCCGUAGCUAACGCAUUAAGUGCCCCGCCUGGGGAGUACGGCCGCAAGGCUAAAACUCAAAGGAAUUGACGGAAGG
rnacentral:rRNA from 1 species